AGGCGUAAUUCUUGCAAUGACUAUAACCAUCGUCGUAGGAAAGUUGAAGAAGAGAAUGAGCAAGAAAGGAUCAGAAGUUGUGAAAGAUAUCUAAUUUGUUUAGUAAUGAUAAAAACUACAUGUAUAUGUCUUCGAAGAAUGUUUUAUAUAAUUCUAUAAAAUUCCAAAGUUUUUCCUUUAUACAAAUCAGUUUGAUGUUCAAAAUGACUUGCACACCAUUUCUAUAAUUCAAAUACAUGUAAAUUUUCUACAAUUAUGUCAUCAUGUUAAGCGCAAUUUUCUCUUGUUAAUACAUGUAGUUUUGAAUUAUCCUAAUUGAAAGAUCUUAACGAUCUUUUUGUUGUUGUCCAAGGUUAACUUGAGUGAAUGGAACGAACAACCUAAAUCUAGACAGAGUUUGUGAAAAAUCGUUUCAGUUUUAUGGGGAUUUGUGAAUUUUGUGCAAGCUUUGACCGAGAGUGUUAAUAAAUGUCGAUUCUUUAUUAUAUUAAAUCAUUAAGAUGCUU
rnacentral:sRNA from 1 species